rnacentral:lncRNA from 1 species
UGCCAUGUCUAUUAGUAACCAUGUGCCUGUCUUUUGCUUCCCUCCCUCUGAAUGUAGCAUAAGGAAAAUAGAAGUUCUUGGUGAUGCUGGCAGAGUGAAUAGAUUACAUCCAUGCUGAUAUGAGAGUCUGCUUUGUCUCCAUUAAUAGAAUGGCAUGUUUCAACUGUGGACUUGACUGCUGUUGCUACCACUGUUUCCUAACAUGUGACUUGUCCAGGGACUCCACACCUAACCUAAACCAAUACAAAUCCGAACAUUGAAUCUGACCCUUCUGAGAGGCCACUACACCACUAGAGGGAAUCAAACAGAAGAUACAAAAUUUCUGCUCUGAGUUCUGUAAGUGAAUCAAUCAUCUAGAGAACUUCAGCAAGUCAGCUUUCCUCUUUGUCUCUUCCUAAACAUUUUGUAAUGCUUGCGAUGUUUUACUUUAUCGUCUGUAAUAUGUUAACACUGCAGCAGCCUUAAUUACAUGGGUAUUGGAAUCUCCUCAAGGGAAGAAAUGUUGAAUUCAACUUAUUUUUUUUUCAUGCAGAAAUCCUAGUGUGUAUACAAUCUAUUGAGGAAUGAUGGUCUACGUGAAGUAUUAUGACUAAGACUCUAAGAGGAACACUUUCUACAUCAUACUUUGAGGUUGAAAUUAAGUAUUAGAAUUGGAAACUGUAAAUAAUCCUAGAACUGACCUACAUCAAUCUCAGGAAAGCUGUGGUCCAAGCAUGUUAGGCUGUUUCCAAAUCGCAAAGCUAGUAAAAAUUGAGAUUAAGAAUAUCAGUUCCUGACUGCUCGAAAAGUUAAAAGGUAAUUUUUAGAAUUAGUUUGCCUAUGAAUAUAGUAGUAGCUUGUGCUAUUAAUAUUAGUAGCUAGUGCUACUAAAAAUAAUUUAUUUAAAGUGGCAACUCACUGAUUAGAGCUGAGAAUAAGCCAAUAAUCAGAAUUAAACACAGG